GAUGAACGCUGGCGGCGUGCCUAAUACAUGCAAGUAGAACGCUGACGGAGGACCUUUCUCUUCUUCAUUAGUUGCUAACGGGUGAGUAACGCGUAUGUAACCUGCCUGCUAGCGGGGGAUAACUAUUGCAAACGAUAGUUAAUACUGCAUCACAACAUUUCUUGCAUGAUAACUGUUUCCAUGGGGCAACUUCUCCACUACCAUAUGCACCUGCGUUGUAUUUGCUAGUUGGUGAGGUAACGGCUCACCAAGGCGACGAUACAUAGCCUACCUGAGAGGGUGAUCGGCCAAGAUGGGAAUGAGACACGGCCCAGAAUCCUAGGGGAGGCAGCAGUAGGGAAUCAUCGGAAAUGGAGGGAAGGCUGAACGAGCAAAGGCGCGUGAGUGAAGAAGGUUUUCGGAUCGUAAAGCUCUGUUGUAAGAGAAGAAAGAGUGUGAGAGUGGAAAGUUCACACAGUGACGGUAUCUUAAGAGAAAGGGACGGCUAACUACGUG
rnacentral:rRNA from 1 species